rnacentral:tRNA from 1 species
GCGGCCGUAGCUCAGGUGGUUAGAGCGUCUGGUUGUGGCCCAGAAGGUCGGGGGUUCAAGUCCCCUCGGUCGCC